CGUAGGUAACCUGCCUCUUAGCGGGGGAUAACUAUUGGAAACGAUAGCUAAUACCGCAUAAAAGUCGACAUUGCAUGAUGUUGACUUGAAAGGUGCAAUUGCAUCACUAAGAGAUGGACCCGCGUUGUAUUAGCUAGUUGGUGAGGUAACGGCUCACCAAGGCGACGAUACAUAGCCGACCUGAGAGGGUGAUCGGCCACACUGGGACUGAGACACGGCCCAG
rnacentral:rRNA from 1 species